GAUGAACGCUGGCGGCGUGCCUAAUACAUGCAAGUCGAACGCUGGAGAUCUAGCUUGCUAGAUCGAAGGAGUGGCGAACGGGUGAGUAAUACAUAAGCAACCUACCCACGAAGACUGGGAUAAUCUCUGGAAACGGGGACUAAUACCGGAUAGGUAAUCGGAAGGCAUCUUCUGGUUAUUAAAGGUUAAAAACACUGGUGGAUGGGCUUAUGGCGCAUUAGUUAGUUGGUGAGGUAACGGCCCACCAAGACGAUGAUGCGUAGCCGGCCUGAGAGGGUGAACGGCCACAUUGGGACUGAGACACGGCCCAGACUCCUACGGGAGGCAGCAGUAGGGAAUUUUCGGCAAUGGGGGCAACCCUGACCGAGCAACGCCGCGUGUGUGAAGACGGCCUUCGGGUUGUAAAGCUCUGUUGUAAGGGAAGAACGGUAGAUAGAGAAUAUCUAAGUGACGGUACCUUACCAGAAAGCCACGGCUAACUACGUG
rnacentral:rRNA from 1 species